rnacentral:rRNA from 1 species
AUGAAAGUAGAAGAAGUUAUCGAAACUCGGAACCACAUGUUCAAUCUUUUUUUAGCGGUUUCCCCAGAGAUCUUUAUCAUUAACACAACCUUCAUUUUGCUCAUUCAUGGAGUUGUAUUUAGUACCUCUAAGAAAGAUGAUUAUCCACCGUUAGUUAGUAAUGUGGGUUGGCUUGGAUUACUUAGUGUUCUAAUAACCUUGCUUCUGCUCGCCGCUGGCGCACCUCUCCUAACUAUUGCCCAUUUAUUCUGGAAUAAUUUUUUUAGGAGGGACAAUUUUACAUAUUUCUGCCAAAUCCUUCUAUUAUUAAGUACGGCUGGUACCAUUUCGAUGUGUUUCGAUUUUUUCGAAAAAGAGAGGUUUGAUGCUUCUGAAUUCAUUGUAUUAAUUCCACUUCCUACUCGCAGUAUGCUCUUAAUGAUCCCGGCUCAUGAUUUAAUUGCCAUGUAUUUAGCUAUUGAGCUUCAAAGUUUAUGUUUUUAUGUGAUCGCAGCAUCAAAAAGAAAGUCUGAAUUUUCCACGGAAGCCGGCUCAAAAUAUUUGAUCUUAGGUGCAUUUCCCUCUGGAAUAUUAUUGUUCGGGUGCAACCGGACUACUACCGAUCAAUUUUUGGGAACUUAUUUAUAG